CCUACACAAGCCAAAAUAAAAAAUUCAACAAAUACCCCCAAUUAAUUUUUAGGAUAAAAAUGUUAAAAAGUUAACCUGAAGGAGACUAAGAAGAGGGGUUCAGUGGAAUUGGACAAAGAUGGUUGCUGGAGGGGCGAGAAGGAGUGAUCGAAGAGGGUAAAAACGUCGUCGGCGUCUUCGGAUGCAGAGGGAAAGAGUAGAGAGUCCAUGAAACGGAUGGAUUUGAAAAGUAAAUGUCGAAGGAAGGAAGAUAAAAAACGAAUAGAUUCGUUAAAGGGAAAACGGAGGGGAAAAGUCAAGAAUUUGGCUAUGGUGUGUCGUUUCAGGUUGAGGCCACGGUUCAUCUGUACAAAGAAAAGUUGUGAAUGAAAGCUAAUUACUGUUUUAAAUUAAUAAUAAAUCGUAAAAAGUGUGUUUUUCCAUUUUGUGGAGCAAAUAAAACAUUAAUACUUUGCCUUUUUAAAUUGUCAAACAAUUAUAAUUAAAUAUAUUAUGAAAGUAUUUGUAUUAGGGUAAUAAUAUUACCAAUACAACAUUUACUUGUUGCAACAAAAUUUUAAUUAAUAUUUUUUAUUUACUUAAAUGACCCUAAGUAAAAAUACUUAAUUAAACAUACUUUUAAAUAUAUAUUUUUAACGUUAAAUAAUUUUUACAAACACCACAAUCAUUAAUUAAUUUAUUCAUUAUUUCCUUUAUGGAUGUGGUGCGAGUUGAAAAUUAUUUUACCCUUCAAUAUCUCCCCUUUUUUCAACAGCUAUUUCUCACAAGAGUGGUGCAUGGCAAAGAGAAAGCACAAAUGGAUUGCGGCAACGCUUUGGUUUGUGAAAAUUGGAUGCAAAGUAAAGAGCUAAAUUAGGGUUUGUACGAUAAAUUUACCAGAGAUGUAUAUGAAAUUGUCAUUUUAGGUUCUUGUGAGAAAAAAAAAAUUUGAGUCUUUAAUAAAGACAGAAUGAUCGUUCAAAUUAUUGCAAAUCGAGUCUUUAGAAAUAAUAGAAUUAUUGUUCAAAUUAUUGCUCUCCUACUAAGAUGAAUUAGCCCUAAAAUUAUUAUUGAAAACAAGAAGCUCUAAAUCCACACCUUUCUAUUCAAAUUCAAAGGAUAGUGGCAUCCUCUUCAUCUAAUAAUCAAACCCCAAAAAAAUCAAAUCCUCCUGCGAGCUUUAAUAAAAUACAAAAGAACGGUUAUUGGAUCUAGAAAGUCAAGAAUAUGUAUACACACAUGUAUCUAUCUAUUUUUUUGUAGUUAAUCAGAAGAAAAUGUAAGCCAUGCAAUAGAUAAUGGGUAUGGAAGAGAAAUGGGUUAGGUUUUUUUACUUCUUUUCUUGUCACAUAUAAGUAGCUUUAGAUUAGUACUUCUCUGCCAUGAAACAUAAAAAAAACACAGAUUGGGAACUAAAAGGAAAUGCGAGGAAGAAAAGAAAAGGUGAAGUUUAGAAAAUAUAUUUUUAUUAAAUUAGGUAUUUAAUUAUAAAUUGUUGUGGUGCAUUUAUUAAAAUAUAUGUUUUAAUUCUGGUGUGGACAUAAUGUGUUGUAUUUAGUAAAUUUUGUGGUGAUAAUAUAAUUAUCCUUUGUAUUAUUAUCAACUUUUUUCUUUAAUUAUUAACGGGUAAUUAUAUUACCAUUACAAAUUUUAUUAAGUACAUCACAGUUUUCUUAUUUACUAAAAUAUCCUUAAGUAAAAUUACAUAAGUAGGAUUUUAAUAUACUUUUUAAUUAAAUAAAUUAUUGUUACACCACAAAUAUAAAACCUAAUUUUUUUUUUCUUUUUCCUCAGCAUUUCAUUGCUCAUAGUUAAUAUUGUUUUAUUACCCUAGUUUUUGAAAUUAAUCUCUAUGAUUUAAGUCAUAAAAGAAUAACAAUCUGCUUCAUCAAAAUAAAACCCAUUCGUUAUUAAAAUCAUUUUAUCUAUGGAAUUGUAAAGUUGAUGUCGAAAAAAUUUCUUAAUUUUUACUUAAAAGUGUUUCCAAAUUAAACUUUCAGGAUUAAAAAAUGAAAUUACAAAUACAUUAAAAAUUCAUAUCUCAAAUAAAAAUGGUAACACAAACAAAUUAUUGACAACUUCAAAUGAUCCGUUCAGAUAUAUUAAUUAUUUGUGACAAACAUUUAGUUUAGUGUUCUUUGCCGAUCUUCUAUUUCCAAUGGCUGUGAAAUAAUAAGGGAAAAUGUUGAGAAAAUGAGGAUUAACAUAGGUGAUAAGUACACCACAAUAUUGUAUUCAGUUUUUUCAAUUUUUUGUUUUUAUUGAAUUAGGAGUAUAAUUGUAAAUUUAUUGUGGUGUAUUGAUUAAAAAUAUAUUUUAAUUGUGGUGUGAUUAUAAUGUGAUGUAGUAAUUAAAAUUUGUAGUGGUAAUAUAAUUAACCAUUAUUAAUUAAUUGAAAUAAAAAUUUAACCCUCGUAAAUAAAAUUAAUUUCUUUUAUGCCCUAAAUUCACAGGGAUUCUAACUUCAUAGAUUUUGAGAUCAAUAGAGCUCCAAGUAUAGGAAAAUUUUAACAGAAUGGAUAUUGACGUUGACGUGGCCAAGCCUGAUUGGCCUUUUUUUAAUGUUUUCCUAUAUAUUCAAUGGUGCCGUUCCAAGUGUUUUCUGUUAAAAAAAUUUAUACCUAUAGCAUUAUUAUUUUGAGAUUUACAGGUGAUGGGUAAGUGUAAUAAUUUGAAAACCACUAUUUAGUGACGGUAUUUUAUUAAAACUUGAAGUUUCAUUUUAAAAGGUCAAUCACAAAAUUCAAAUUCUUAUAAAUUGAUUUAUACUUUUUAUCUUUAUUCCGUGUGGAAUUUUACCACUUAGAAUGUCCGCGCAAGAUGUUAGCUCGUUUGAGCAAAUCAAUCUUUAAAUUCAUGUGCUCAUUUUUUUAGUCUUAAUUAGAUGGAAUUACUUGUUGAAACUUAAUGAACUCUAAUAUCGUAUUAUGACUUUCGAUUCCAUCUUAAAAGGUCAAUCUUUUUAAAAUGAGUAACUCAAAUCCUUAUAAAUUGAUAUAUAUUUUUAUCUUUAUUCGAUUAUCGAAUUUUAUCCCUGAACAUCGUUUUUCCAAAAGAAUUGAUUUUUUGCUGUUGAAAUGUGAGAACAUUUUAAUUUUUUUAAUGCAAUUUGCUGUGGGCUCUCUCUAGCCAGAGAAAGCAAGAGUCAAAUUAAAUUUAUUGCCUUUUUAUGUUAAUGUUCAGUUCGUCCUCCGUAAGCGAAAAGGGGUUGAUUUGGCGCAUUUAUUUGGAAGGGGCAUUUUGAUAGGGGUGUAAAUGAGUCGAGCUGAAAUUCUUGGCUCGAGCUUUUUCAAUACGGGCUUUUUUUGGUCCGAGCUGAGCCGAGCCGGCUCGACUCAAAAAAAUAAAGCUCGACCCGAGCUUUUGGCUCGGGCAUUACCGAGCCGAGCCGAGCCGGCUCGUGUUUUGGUGUCUUUUUUUUUUUUUUUUUUAAAUUUUUUUCCCUUAAUUGCUGCCGAACAGGCAGCUUUAUAACUAAAGCUGCUUGUUAGCAGCAGUUAGGCAACAGGUAACUGCUGCCAAUAGGCAGCUAUAAAGCUGCAAGCCUUUUUUUUAAUUUUUAGUUAUUUUUUUUAAUUAAACGGGCCGGCCCGUCAAUCCACGGUCCGGCCCGGACUCGGGCAAUUGCCCCCUUUUGGAGCUUGGGCUUUUUCCGAGCCGAGUCACAGGUCGCCCGAGCCACCGAGCCUUUUUGACAUCCCUACAUUUUGAUCCUUCAAACAUGUUUGUAGGGGGUAAAAUUGAGAAAUCAAAUGAAAUAAAUGUCGGCCUUCUCAAAGUUUCAAACAAUUUUUUGUAGGCAUUCAUUUCUGAAUUCCAAAUGCCAGACAUCAAAUCCAGCAAAAUUUGAUAUUUUCUCUAAAAUAGUCGCAUCAAACAAGGGCUUUAUAUCCUUUUCUAGUUUAGUUUAAAAUUCGAUUUUUAGUAUAUUUCAAUAAAAGAAUGUGAAAAUUGUGGUUAAAAAUUAAUAAAAAUUGUAUCUCAUGAAUUUUGUUGUAAAAUAUGAGUUUUAGAAAAUGGGUCCGACUCUCCAACGUGGAUAUAAAUAACAUAAGACAGAGAUUUUUUAUUUUGAUUUUAUUUUAUUUUAGGAGUGUAGAAAUAAAGAUAGGAAAGAGAGAAGAAUGUAUAUUUACAUGCAUGAAUUUUGCGUCAACUCAGCAUGGGGGUGUUGAGGUUGAGAUGAAUCAAUAAGACUCUUAAAAUUAUUGAACAAUUAUAAAUAAUAAGUGUUUGGUAAACUUGAAAAACUAAUUAUGAAAGAAUUUGUAUUAUUAUCAACUUCUAUUCCUUAAUUACUCAUUAUUAAAAUAAAAAUUUAACCUUGUCAAUAAAAAUAAUUUCUUUUAUGUAGUAUUCUAAUUUUUAGUAGAUUUUUAAUUAAUAAAAAAAUUUAAACAUGUAGCUGAAAAAUUGAUAAAAAGUUGUGGAUAUCAUAAAAUAUGAUUAAAAAUGAGCUUGACAAAAAACGAAUUUUAGAAAAUGAGGGACAAAUAUUGGCAUAAUUCACAUAAAAAUAGAUUUUUGGUUAUUUAUAUUGUCUAUAGAAAUAAAAAUAGGAAAGAGAGAAGAAGAAAAAUAUAUAAUUAUAUCUAUAUAUUCGCGUCAACUCAAUACGAGAGAGUUGAGGUUGAGAAUGCAUCAAUUUGGAUCUUAAAAUUAUUAGUAACAACGAUUUAUGAAUUGUUCCAUGUACCUGUUACUCUGUUAAAGUCGUUUUCAGUUGUUAAAUAAUGCAUGUACCAGUUACUCUGUUAAGUAAUCCACGUAUCAAUUACCCUGUUAAAGUCAUUUUCAGCCGUUAAAUAAUCCAUGUACCAGUUACUCUGUUAAAUAAUCCAUGUUAAUGGGGCCCAGUCGGCCAGUCAUCCAUUCCAUGAUAUUUCCUAUGCGAACUCUUUUCUACGCGGACUCUCUUGUCCACUGUCAACACAAUUAAUCGUUACAUAGUAUAAUUUUAGCAAAUGCAGUCCCCAACUUUUGGUAGUCUUUUCACCUUUCUUCACAAUUUUUAUAUCUUUCACGUUCAACUCUUUUAUUUUCAAUUUUCAAAGCAUCUAUAAAAUAAACCUUAAGCUUAUGAGAAAGAAUUGACCCAAACACCACAAUGGUCCUAAACCCUUACUUACCUACGUGGCCAUCCCUAUCCCCUAGGGAUCAACGGAGUGGAGUGGGACGAGAUUGAUUUGUCGUUAAUAUUUCUGUCCUAUAAAAAACCUUCGGGAAGAUAGGACACAAGCAAAACAAGAAUGGGAGAUUGAGAAAAUCUCUUUUAUCAUCACGUUUAAUUAAUUAUUUACUUAUUAAUAUCAUUUCUUAUUUUUAAAACACGAUUGAGGACGGGGAAUUUUUUCAUCUCAAUAUAAUCUCUCGUUCCCUUCUGGCUUCUAUAUACCUAAUNNNNNNNNNNNNNNNNNNNNNNNNNNNNNNNNNNNNNNNNNNNNNNNNNNNNNNNNNNNNNNNNNNNNNNNNNNNNNNNNNNNNNNNNNNNNNNNNNNNNNNNNNNNNNNNNNNNNNNNNNNNNNNNNNNNNNNNNNNNNNNNNNNNNNNNNNNNNNNNNNNNNNNNNNNNNNNNNNNNNNNNNNNNNNNNNNNNNNNNNNNNNNNNNNNNNNNNNNNNNNNNNNNNNNNNNNNNNNNNNNNNNNNNNNNNNNNNNNNNNNNNNNNNNNNNNNNNNNNNNNNNNNNNNNNNNNNNNNNNNNNNNNNNNNNNNNNNNNNNNNNNNNNNNNNNNNNNNNNNNNNNNNNNNNNNNNNNNNNNNNNNNNNNNNNNNNNNNNNNNNNNNNNNNNNNNNNNNNNNNNNNNNNNNNNNNNNNNNNNNNNNNNNNNNNNNNNNNNNNNNNNNNNNNNNNNNNNNNNNNNNNNNNNNNNNNNNNNNNNNNNNNNNNNNNNNNNNNNNNNNNNNNNNNNNNNNNNNNNNNNNNNNNNNNNNNNNNNNNNNNNNNNNNNNNNNNNNNNNNNNNNNNNNNNNNNNNNNNNNNNNUGUGUUGUGUUGUGUUGUGUUGUGUUGUGUCCAUGUGUGUUUUCAAAUGAUUGUCAACAGAGGCCGGCUGCAUAUUAUGCUCCCUCCCUCUGUUUUUACAGCUUAUUUGUAAUUUAGGAAGUGUACUUGCGAUUUUAAUCUGUUCUUGUUUGAAGAAAUUUGGUGGAUCUUCUUGUUUUCUUAAUUCAAACCUGAAAAUUUUGUUGACACGAAACAGAGCAUUAACCCCUUCCGUCUUCAAAUUUCAUCAUUGAACAUUCAUCUCGUUGUUUUUGGAGGCGUGGAAUUGGGGUUUUGGAAUUCAAGUUUUUAUUGAAUUCAAUUUGAAUUUCUUCGAAUCUUUGGCCCCAAAUUAAUCUAAAACUUGCCAUGCAUCCAGUGACGACGAUGCUUAUGUUGCUGCUGACAGUGUUCAAUUGCCAAUUUUACGCAUCAUUGGAACAGUGGAAUUAUUAGCUUGGUUAUUUUAUUCAACUUAUCACUUCAUCAUUUAAUUUUUGAGACCUAUCCUAAAUUAUUCAUCAAUUUAUUUGUGUCACAUCACCAGUAUUUAGAACAAAGUUUUACAUGAUCAAAUAUAUCGAUCAAUUGUUUAAUCGAUGAUUCUAUCGAGAUAUAUUUAUUAAAGUAAAUAGCGCGGUAAAAUAAUCUAAAAUAUCAUCUAAUGAAUUAGUCAUAUAUAACAAUUAAACAUCGACACAAUUAAUUUAAUUCAUCACGAUUAAGUCAACUUAGAUGAUGCUUUAUAAGUCUCAGAACGAUCUAUUUUCAUGUUUAGAUGUUAGUGAUUGUUAGCACAACCCUAUUCAGAAACAAUAGUGUGUGCGAGAUUUGCGAAAGGGUUGAUUUGAAUUUUCUUUUUGCAUAUUUGCCUUGAAACCAAGAACUUAAAAGAGUUUCUAUUUACUAGUUACUCGCGGAGAGGAAGAAAGUUAGGUUAAAGGGUAUAAAACGUAUAAUUUUUCUAGAAAAUACAACGAUUUGAUUCAUUAUAAGAGAGAGAAAAAUAGGACAAGGUCACUUGGGUUAGGAAGACUAUAGCAAUAUCAACGUUAAAGCAAUAAUUGAAACUAAUAAUUGAUCUAAGUCAAUGGUACAUACAAGAAAUUCAAUACAAAAAUGAGCCCAGCCAAAUCUGGCUGAAGGUACUUGUUCUUGACUAAACUCACUUCUAUUGAAUUAUGUUUCGAUUGUACUGUUAUAAUUUUUGACAGUAACAAUAAUGAAAUUGUUCACAAAUAAUACAUAAAGAAAUAUCGUUAAACAAAAUGAAUAGAGAAAGAAAAAUCUCUAUUCAUCCAAUCAAUCGGUGAAUAGGACGAAUGUGGAAUAUUACAAAUUUUUUGGUACAUGGAAAUAGAGAAAAUUAAAGAGGAGGGAGAGAUUAAUCUAUACCCUACAGAGUUUGCACCAACUCAACCCCUGGUUAUCUUGACUGAAAAAUAUUAUUAAUAACUGUAAAAUAAAUAAUUUGUAAAUUUUUAAUUAUGAAGAAUGUUGCCUUGAGAGAGAGAGAAUCGGAGGUGGAAGUUGGGAGCUAAAAAAACUAUCUGAAAAAUUCUCACAUACUAGUUACUCAUUGGAGGUGGAAGUUGGGAGCUAAAGCAUUAUAUACGAUAUUAAUAGAAAAGUCGAGGAUACAUUCACACUAAGUUCAUGAACAAAGAUAAGCUUGGCCAUAUAACUUUGUCUUUGGAUAAAACUUGUAAUUGCUUCUUGUAUAGCAUCUUCAAUCGUGGUGUAAAUUUGGGUGUAAAUUGAUUUUCAAAAUCACUUUAGCAUCCCCAUUUACAUUCUGGUCGAUCUAAAUUCAAAUUUUGCUCCAUUAAAAAUAUCUAUAUUCACUUUUUGUUUCUUGUAAAUGUAAAAAAUGUAAAUUUACAUUUUUUUGUCAAAAAAUGCAGUUUGCAUUUCCUUUAUAUCUCUCCUCAUAUACAUUUAAUAAACAUUUUCAUAUAGAUAUUUAGACCAACCAUUUUCAUAUAGAUAUCCAUAAUCUUUCGAUAUCAUGUAUACUUAACAUGCUAUUACUCGACAAUAUUUGUGCAAAGGAAAAAAUUUAGCUAAGAAAACUUCAAGAAGCUAAUAAAUUUAGCUACAAUACUCAAAAUAGUGGAGACAAAAUCACGAAAAGAGGAAAAAAAAAUUGAAAUAUCAAAACUUUAAAAAAAGUUUAAAAGGAAAUGGUUUUUCCUUAUUCAAUCCAUAAAACGAGGCAUGCUAGAGCUUAUAAUUUUAUUAUGGACAGUACUUUAUUUUUUUUAUUUUUUUGAACUUUAAGACAAACUGAUACCAAAAAAUACCAAUUGGAUACAUAACUGUAUAGUAUUAAGAAGUUGAAGUCGACGUACUUUACAUGACUCGAAAUAGCAGAGACUAAAAAUCAAGAAAAAGAGGAGAAAAAAAUUAAAACAUCAAAAAUUAAAUUAAAGUUUAAGAGUACAUGGUUGUUUCUUAAUAAUUUUUGUUCAAUUCAUAAAAUGAGGCAUCCUAGAGUUUAUAAUUUUACUAUGGAGUAUGGACAAUGCUUUAAUUAUGUUAUUUUUAAAAUGAACUGACAUUAAAAAAUAUUAGUUAGAUAUAUAUAGCAUCAAGAAAUUGAAGCCCACAUAUUGAACUCGAUCAAUAUGAGUAAGAAAUGAAAAAUUAUAUUUCAAAAGAGAUCAUAAACUCGAUAUAACAAAAGAGGUACACCAUACCCUAAGUUUUGUACAUAUCAAGUUUAAUUGACAUGCUUAUAAAAAAAAUAAAUUAAAAAAUCACUUAAGUUUGUAAACAAUGCAAGAAAAUAAAAAGCUCGAAUUGCAAAGAAUGAACGUCUUGAUACAUCAACUUACACAACAAUACUUGCUCGAACAUUUUGAUUCAUGCAAAGCGUAAAUUGUAAAUAUUAAUUUAUAUCAACUUCUAAAAUGAAAUCCAACAAUCUAAUUUAAGGCCAAAUGCAAAAAGUAGAAAACGGUUAGAGUUCAGAGUAUUAGACAAAUUGAUACCAAAAUCAAAGCUUUUAGCUUUUGUAUUUUUUUACACUACCUAUAAAUUGUGAAAAACAAGAAAUUAUAUAUAAAAAAAUCGAUUAUAUUCGAGGUACCUACGAUUCUGGUCCAAUUGUCCAGGAAUAAAAAACGAUUUGAUCCCUUGCAGUUCUUGAUUUUCAAUUUUAAUUCCUAAUUUUUUUUGGUGGGAAUUAGAGCGAAACUCCGGCUCCGAUUUGAUUUUGGUUUGGGAGGUUAGGUUUCGGCUAAAGUGCCCAAGCCUAGUAAUGCAUAGAGGUAAUUAUUAAUUUCUUUCAAAAAUAUUUUGAGUAAAAUAGCAAAAUUUAUAUGUAUUUAACUCAAUUAAAUUAAAAAUCAGCUAUUAAAAGCUAAGUCCCCUCAAAAAUGAAACAAUGACGAAAAAGAGGAAAAAAAGAAAAAAAUCACCACACUAAUUGCGACCAAUUAGAAACCAAAAGGAUGUAAGAAAAAUGGCUUGGAGCCCGAAAGAAGAAAAGGAUACACAACUUAACUAAUGAUUCCAUUUUGUAAUAAGUUCGAAUUCAACUUGAUCUGCUUGAAGAUAAAUGGAGUCAACAAUAAAAACAAUAGUGGGAGCCAUUGUUGGAGCAGAUUCGUGCUUCGAAUAAAGUUAUCUUCAAAUUCCAAUAAGCAAAAUAAUAUGAUACGAAAAACUUGCAAAUAGCCCCCAAAAUUUCAUCGAUGGUUGUAACACUUGUGACAGAUGGACCGUUGAAUAAUUAAUUGGAAUCUAUUUCAAAGCUUGAUUUUCUUUUGUUCCAGACAAGAAAGAAAACAAAAUGUCUCAUUCCUCUGGUUAGAAAAUUCCCUUCUCUGCCUUUGGAAUUUUCCAAUCUUAUUUCCAAAAUUUAGUGAUAGUUUGGAUCAAAAUUAAGUUAGUCAGAGUAUAAAUUUAGUGCUCAGUUUUUAAUUUUUUUUGUUGUAUUUUAAUAAACAAACACUCAAACAAAAUCUCAAGUACAUAUGAUAAGUGAGCAGAUCUAUUUUUAGGACAUUAUGUAAUACAAAAGCCUUGGUUUGCAAUUUUGUUCUCUCUUAUGGCUCUUCUUUCGUUGUUUUGUUUCAUCCAGUUAUUAUCAAUUUUAAUAUAUUUAUUCUGCUUGAGACUGUACUUAAAAACACCGAAAUAAUAAUAAUAGGUCCAAAUUAUAAUUAGCAAUUUUUAAAUUUGUAAUUGACAAUUUUCAGUCAAAAUCAAGUCCUAGCUUAAUUGUAUUGGGAGUUUAUCAAAUUGUAAUCAAAGUCAAAGUAGGAGUUAUUGAGUCUUGAUUAUAGUAAAAAAUAGCUUGAGUUGACGGAGUUCAAAAAAAAUGUCAAAGAAAUACAAAGAGAUCAAAAUUCGGACUUCAAAAAGUAAAGCAAGAAAUGGACUCAGCAACGCUUGUUGGACGCCCUAUUGCUCAAAAUAGGGUCGUUGAUGCUUGCUCGUCAACCUAUCGCUUAAGCGGCAGUAACGUUCGACAAGAAACAUGAUUCUAUUUUAAUGCUGAUUUUGAAAUCAUUUUCACCCCCAAACACUAACUAAGAGGUAUUGAGUCAUUAUAUUACAUUAGAGAUCAUAUAAUUGAAGAUCCAAACACACAUUCAUUCUUGAUUCAACAUAAGAUCAAAAUAUUCUUAUAUUAAUAUAUUGAUUCAUCUUUGGGAGAAUGUUUAAACUAUUUAAUCAACAUGUUGUGUAGGUAUUUUUAUGAAAAAAUUGAGUAUCGGACACACGUGUCCAUGCCGGUGAAUCAUAUUACUCUAUCAAGUAGCUUAUCAUCUAGAUGUGAUAUGAAUAAGUGGCAUUCUGCUGAAUAAAAAUAGAAAACCAUCUUUUUACCAACCAUCAUAACCAGUCAAUCCUCCAACUUUUUAAUUUUUUUACCAUAGACCUUUUUUGAGUUUGUUAUUAUAAUACACGUUUGGCUAUGGUGAAAUAAACAAAUAAAUUUAAAAAAUAAAGACUAGGCUAAAUGAACUUUUUUUCCUUGUUUAUUUUUACACUAUAGACUUUUUGAGUACUGAAACUGUGGGAUGUUUGUUUCCUAUUUCUAACUACUUAUAGAAAGGUGAAUAAAAUUCACUGUAGUUGCAAUAAUGUUCGAACUUUUACUGUAGCUAAACAGUGAUUUCACUGUAGAUAUCAGUCAUACCCAUUUUUUUCCUACUCAAAAGGACGGUGAAUCCAUUUUCCCACGCAAAUCUAGACACAAGUUUUCAUCAUCAUCAUCAUCAUCAUCAUUUUCUUCUCUCAUUUCUUCUUCAAUCCUUCUCUCCUUUUUUCUGUGAUUAAUCUUUUCGUGUAAAAUUCUCAUAAAUAGCGAGGUAAAUCCUGGCAUGCCGUUUUUCUCGAGUGAAUAGAGAGGUAUAUCCUCGAUUUUAUCUGAUAGUUAUAAUUUUGUUUAUUCGAUUCACAAUUUUGGAUUUUUGUGUGAAUAAAGAGGUAUAUUCUUGGUUUAACGUAAAUUAAAAUGCUUAUUAGCUUGUUAAUUCAUUUAUAUCUCUUGUGUAUCUCAUGUGUUGGGUUUUUGAUACCCAAUAAAUCCUGAGUUAUGAUGUUAACGUGGGUUAAUAUUAUUUCAUAAGCAUAGGUCGAUGAAUGAAAUAAAUCCAACAACCAAAUCCAUGAGUUAUACCCGGUCCAAUUGUAUUUUCUUAUGGAUGGCUUGAAUCUUGGCCCGUUUACUCCUUUAAUGGAACAACUUAAAGCCUAACCCUAGAGUAUAUAUUUGGCUAUAACCCUAGUCACUUUCUAAUGAUGAUUGUGUGAUUUUGGGAGAAGAAACAAGAUAAUCCCGGCUGCCCCCCUUUGUGUGUGAAAAAAGGUCUUCAGAAGUGUCCAGAGCGCUUGUAUAACGUGUGCAAUUGGUGGUUUCUUCAUAGUAUACCAUUGUGGUAUUUUCUCCACAAAUCAUCAUUCUUUUUUGUCCUACAUGGGUAAGAUUGAAUAGCAACCAAGGUGAAUCAAUUGGUUGUGGUUUGGAGCUGAUUGGACUGGUUGUUGGUUGAGAAAGAUGCGUUGGACCGAGCUCGGAAAUCACCAAUUUGAAGAUCUUUCAAGAGAGCUUCCGCAACAAUUGGUGUCAGAACUUCAAGGUGGUGGUUUUUGACUCGUGAAACAUACCAAAAACGUCCAGAAAUCGCAGCAGAAAUCAGAUCGAAGAAACUGUCCAAAAACUGUCAAAAUCAGUCUCCGUUUUUCGCAUUUUUUGAUCAAUCCAGAAGGAGUUUGGGGAAACGGAGACCACUGGUGUAACGUGCAGGAGGAGGCGAACACUGCAGGUCGGUGCGUGUCGGUCGAUGGCAGAGCGUGGGGGCAGCGUGAGACCUACGCGUAGAGGAAAGGAGCUACGCGAGAGGGCGCGUGGAGCCUUUUUUGGCGACGGUCUCUUCAGGCAGUUUGUUCCUCAUAUUAUUUCUAACAUUUUUCGUGUUAAAAGUUUUCUAUUUCAGGGUACACGGUAGAAUCUGGACAACGUUGUUCUUCGGGCGUUUGGGACUAGAUUGCGAUUUUUUUGGUUGCUGCAGUUUCCAGAGACUUUAGGACGAAUAGUGGUGGUCCUAAAGUGAUAAAUUCGCAACUUUCGUAAUUUAUGGACUUAGAUAGGUUCGCUCUGGUAUAUUGACUUAACUCAGUUUGAAUUUCAGCAUUAGUAGAUCAUCGUGUGGGGUGAUUGUUAGGAUUGGGGGUUGUCAUUGCUUGACAACCAUUGCCUGUGCUAGAAAAUUUAGGAAUUAUUUACUCUAUUUUGAAGUAUUGAACUUUGAUUGCAAGUUGGUAGGUGAUUUUGUGCUUAUCCGUUAUAUAGUCACUGUGUGAGACUUGUUGCAUGAAAAUUUGAAAUUUUUGUUUAUAUACCUUCUUGUUUGCAUUAAUUAUCCAAUUAGAACACCUGGACUUGACCCGUUCGAACAUUCCCUUGAUCUAAGAUCGUGAAUCUUACGAAACCCUGGGAAUCUAGAACGGUAUAUAUUGCGACCUUAGGAUUACUUUGUGUGACCUAUUUGUGACUUGAUUGUUCUGUUUUUUUAUUUUCUCCUUAAAAAUAUCUUCACACUUUGAAGUAGAAAUUUUUAAUGGGAAAUGUGAUUUUUCAAUUUGGCAACAAAAGAUGAAGGGUAUUUUGGUCCAAAAAAAAGUUUCAAAGGCCAUAGAUAGCAAAUUUUCUGUAAAUUUAACAGAAGUACAAGAAGAUGAGUAUGAUGAACUUGCAUACACUUCAAUUAUUUUACACCUGUCUGAUACUAUUUUGAGAAAAUUAGAAAAACUGGAUUCUACAAAACAAUUUUGGGAAAAGUUGGAGGACUUAUAUUUGCUUAAGUCAACUCCUAAUAAAUUGUACUUGCUUGAACGAUUUUUCAACUUUAAAAUGGAUCCUUCAAAGGAUUUUGAUGACAAUCUGGAUGUCUUUAACAAGUUAGUUCAAGACAUCGUUAAUUAUGAUGAAGAGGUAUCUGAAACAUAUAAAGCUAUUAUCCUGCUUAAUUCCAUGCCUGAUUCAUAUGGGGAAGUUAAGAAUGCAAUUAAGUACGGUAGGGACACCUUAACUCCCGAGAUUGUCAUGGAUUCACUUAGAAGUAAGGAGGUAGAGAUUAAGGUUGAAAAAGAGGAUAAGAGGAGUGGCGAGUUACAUAUGAUCAGGAGUAUGAUGAAGUUUAAGCAAAUGAAUUUGGGUAGAACUUAAGACGGUAGUGAUUUGAGUUGUGACUUGAGUGAUGAGGGUAGUAAGAAGAAGGGCAAGGGACGAGACAAGUCUAGUGGUAGAAGGUGUUACAGUUAUGAUAAGUCUGGACACUUUAUUAGGGACUGUCCCAAGAAGAAAGAUAAGCCGAAGGGUAAGAUGAGAGGUGAGACGAAUUUGGUUGAGGGAUCGAGUUAUGACCCCAGUGAGAUUUAUUAAGUGUAAACCUAGUCACUGCAUAUGCAUCUGUGUGUGAUCCUUUUCUGCAUGUGUGUGAUUGUCUAAAUUUUGUUGCAUGAUUAUCUGCUACAUCUCAAUGUGUUUGAUAUGUGCAUUUGCAUGAAUUUGAAACAUUAGGAUUGCUUGGUGUAAUUACUUGUAUGCAUAAUGGGUUAGGAUGCAUUAGCAGUGUGUUGUGUAUAUUUUGGUGAGGCGGAGUAUAGAUGUCUAGGUGUACAUGGUGGUUUGUACCAGGGAUGUAGAGUGUGACAUCUGGAUCACGAGUGAAGAUGUGAUCAAAUAUCUAGAAUCCUUUAUUUGGAAAGAGACCCUGAUUAGGUGGAGUGUGAGAGAGGCACUUCUAUCACUUUUGUUAGGUGGAGACCCAUUAUCCACGUAGGUUGGGAGAAACGAUGUGUAGAUAGAGGAUUAUCCCGUGGACUUAGGAUCUAUUGUGACUUGCCAGUUAGACAUGAGUUGAGUGAUCUGUCUAGUGAGCUUGGUGGGCGAUGAGAGGAGAUAUGUGUUCUCGAGGUGUGAGCAACACGGAAUGGGAUAGGAUAAGUGUGGUGAGAUCUUUUCUUAGGUCAUUUAUGCAUGUGUUGCAUAUGUGGUUGACCGUGGUUUGAUUGACUUGGUGUUAAUCUAUGGUUCUAUGUGAACGUAUUUUUGAAAAGAUCUGUGUGUAUUAUCCUAUAGUAUAUCGUCAUCGCACGUAUAUUUACUCUUGAAUUUUUAUUGUUAAAUAUUUGCUUCUAUUUGGGUUUUUUUGACCUUAGCCCUUGUGAGUACAUGGAGCAGGUAUGGUAUGUGUUUCAAGUUGGAAACACGAGGUAAGGUUUGUGAUCCAAUUUCAUUGGCUACCUUGAUUAUGCAAGUGCUAAUUGUGUGUUUUGAUUGCUUGCAGAUUUAUUGGGCAUCAAGGUGGAGAUUUGUUGGAUUUUUGAUACCCAAUAAAUCUUGGGCUAUGAUGUUAACGUGGAUUAAUAUUAUUUCAUAGGCAUAGGCUGAUGAAUGAAAUAAGUCCAACAAUCAACUCCAUGAGCUACACCUGGCCCAAUUGUAUUUCUUUAUGGAUGGCUUGAAUAUUGACCCUUUACCCCUUUAAUGGCCCUACUUAAAGUCUAACCCUAAAGUAUAUAUUUGGCUAUAACCCUAGCCACUUUGUAAUGAUGAUUGUGUGAUUUUGAGAGAAGAAACAAGAGAAUCCCGGCUGUCCCCUUUGUAUGUGACAAAAGGUCUCCAAAAGUGUCUAGAACGCUUGUAUAACGUGUGCAAUUGGUGGUUCCUUCAUAGUAUACAUUUGUGGUGUUUUCUCCUAGCUUUUGUGGCCACAAAUCAUCAUCAUUUCUUGUCCUACGUGGGUAAAAUUGAAUAGCAACCAAGGUGAAUCAAUUGGUUGUGGUUUGGAGCCGAUUGGAUUGGUGCGUUGGAUUAAGCCUGAAAAUCACGAAUUUGAAGAUCUUUCAAGAGAGUUUCCGCAACAUCAUGCAUUAACAAUCUUGAUAGAAAUCGUGAAGUAUGGCUUCUUGUAGCAAUCUUGGUCCGCAGUCUCGCACAGACUGUGCGGGAACUUUUUGGGUUUUAACACUAAAUAAUUUUGAAGGUAUGGUCUUAUCUUAUCUUAAUUCCUAAAUUUGUGUUACAUGUUUGAGUUUUCGUCAUUUCAUUAAUUUUGGGAGUAUGGGUUUUGUUUGUUGAUGAUUGUUCCGAUGAUGUCAUGAAUAGACUUUUGAUAUGUGUUGCAGAAAAGAAGUCUUGAAUUUUAAUAUUUUUUUUAGAGUCAACUAGGGAAAAAAUCUGCCUUUAGUACUCUGCAUAUAGUAUCUAUUUUAAAUGCCUUAUGUAUUUUUUCUCUUAUUUUCUGCUAUAAAUUUCUCUAAUGUGUUCUAACAAAAUUUUUCAUAGCCUGAGCUGACCAAAUCUGUAAAUUUUGUUAAUUGAUCUGUGAUCUAACAUGUAGUGGUUAAUUUAUUCUUUUCUUGCACGUGUCUCUACAUAGAGCAUUGAAAGUCACAGUUUUACCUCGAGCUAAUAUGGUAUUUUUCUCCCCUUUUCAAACUUUUAUUCAGUAAAUUUUUCUUUCAUUUUAAAAAAUAAAAUAAAAGAUAAGGAGUCCCCGCACAGACUCCGCACGAAUUGUGCGGGGACUCCUUACGGAAUUAGUGUGGUGUCCCCAUGUGGAAUCCGCACGACCACGUGUGGGCUCCCAUAAAAUUAUAAAUUAUCUUUUACUUAUAUUCCCACAAUUUUAAAUCAAAUUUUUACUAAUUGCCAGAGAAAAUUCAUGCCAAAAAUUUAAUUCAAACUUUAAAAGCAUGUUAGAAUUAUGACAAAAAAACCAAAAUCUCUACAUCACGCUAAUAAAUACAUAUUAAAUACAAUAAUCGUGCAACGUACAUGGCAUCGACUAGUUUGUAAGAAUGAGAAUGAAAAAUAUAGCUGUUAUGGACCCCAACAAGAGAUAGAAAUUCAAAUUUGAUGGCUUGAUGUCAUGGAUAACGGUCAUAUUUUUCAUUUUAAUGGAGGAAAAAAUGGGAAACAAACAGGGGCUGUAUUUGCCUUUUCAGUGACCAAAAGGGAGCUGUUGUAUCCUUGCCUGAUGACUGAGCUACAAUAAAACUAUUACAGACGCCCCUCCAACUAAUUAAGUCAAUCUUUAUUUUAAUUAAGAAGGUUCAGGGCCCAACCCCUACCAACUUUUCACCUUUUACCGCAGCUACAACCAAAGAUUAGCAUACAAGUUCUACUGUUCAAGCCAUAUCUACUUCCAUUAACAGAAUGGAAAUCAGUGGAUAUUAAUAGAAUUUGUGCAUGUAUUCAAAAUUUAGCAACUUCACUUCCCUAUUGGGCUAUCUUACUAGAAAUCUGAUGUCUGAAUUUUGUAAAUAUUGUAGUUUGAAAUUCAGAAUUUCAAAAGUCAUUGGCUUACAAAAUUUAAUUCAAGCAUUGGUUGCUUUACAAGAGUUAGUUUUACCAACUCUUGGUAACAGCAUCCACAAUCAACAAAUCAAGAAGAUCCACACCAUAGCUAAUAUUUAGAAUAGUCUAUGAAAAGGGGCAUAAAUUCGUAAUGAACCUUUUGGCUAAUCUUUAUAACCAAUGAAUUUGUUUCCACACAAAAGUCUGAUCUGUAAAGAGAUCAGGUCGUGCGUGGUAUCUUCAUCAGGUAAAAUAGUUUCCACACCCAUCAAGUCAUUACGCCUACAUGGAAGAGCAAAGUAAAUCAAAUAUCGGGUCAUGGGCUCCUCAAAUGCAGCAUCGACAACUGCAAACGAACCAUGUUCAGUUGUCUAAUGACUGACUCAGGAAAUGGCACUGACUUUAUAAGGAACAUAACCAAAGGUGGAAUGGAACUAUGGCCAGCAAUCUUCAUAUUUCAGAUUUAUGUAAUAUAGUUCAAAUAUGGCAGGUGAAGCAAGUCUGCGUAGGGAAUAAUACAUACAGGAUUAGAGUUAAAAAAUGGCAGAUGAGGCAUGACUGCGUAGGCAACAAUACCUACAGAAAUAGAGUCAAUUUUGAAGAAAAUCAUAGCUGUGAAAGUAAUACUUUCAGUUUAAACUUCAUUUCCAGCAGAUUCAGUGCCGACCAAUGAUUUUAUUUAUCAAAACAAAAUUAAAUUCAUAAGUUUAGCAGAAGUAUCUUAGUAAAACAGAAACAGAAAAUAAAACAAGCAUAUCCUCCCUAAUAACUUCUUGCUUAUCUUACAGUCAACAACAAAAUUUCAAUACUCAUGCUAGAAAGGAGCUUCUUCAUAGUAUUCAUUCAAUUUAUUUAUCUUAUUAUUUAUUAUUAUUAUUAUUAUUAUUAUUAUUAUUAUUAUUAUUAUUAUUAUUAUUAUUAUUAUUAUUAUUUAUUUAUUUUUCAGUUUCCUAACGUCUAUAGCAAUAAGAUUGUUGAUAAUCCUAUUCCAAAUUUUGAAGUGGAGUUUUGGUUGUUCAAGCAUGUGUAUGAAUUGCCCAAAAUUGGUUCUUAUUUUUAGAGUCACAGACAACUUGACAAUUGACAAGCACUUAAUCAUCAAGAGCUUAACAGAUAAACUCAACAGAAGACAACUUCAGAUAUAACAUUUAACAACGGAACCAAGCUUGCGUCAUUUCUACUCUUCCAUCAAUUGCAUACAAGAGAAGUUCAAUGCAACCCUAAAAAACUAAGUAUAGCUACAGGUGCUGGUCAGAUAUACAGAUUAUAACUUCAUCAACUAAUCAAUUAUUUAUUUUGCAACUACUAAAGUAACGCAAGAUACAUGGGGAAAAAAAACAAAAAAAACCCUAAUUUGAAUGAUAACUGGCGCUCACCAUUUAAGAGCUGUCAAAAAAUCCACUCCGACACCAAUGCAAAAUCCCACUCGCAUGAAACCCUUUCUUCUUUACCAAUCUUCACUUCCCUUCUCUCUUCAUACUCACCAGAAUCUCUGAAUCCCUACGCCUCACCGCCAUACUCCACCAGUCAAUUGUGCCGUCCCAUUAUACAAAACGACGCCGCCGCCACUGCACACAGCCUCUCUAGCCUCCUUCCACCACCUACACAAACCAAAAAUAAAAUAAUAAAAGAUGGUUGCUGAAGGGGGGAGAAGGAGUGAUCGAAGAGGGUAAAAACGUCGUCGGCAUCUUCGGAUGGGGAGGGAAAGAGUAGAGAGUCCAUGAAACGGAUGGAUUUGAAAAGUAAAAGUCGAAGGAAGGAAGAGAAUAAACGAAUAGAUGCGUUAAAGAAAAAACGGAGGGGAAAAGUCAAGAGUUCGGCUAUGUUGUGUCGUUUCAGGUUGAGGCCACGGUUCA
rnacentral:lncRNA from 1 species